rnacentral:rRNA from 1 species
GACAGAGGUGCCGAGCGUUAGGCGGAAUCACUGGGCUUAAAGCGUGUGUAGGCGGAAGCGUAAGUGCCUUGUGAAAUCCCACGGCUCAACCGUGGAACUGCUGGGCAUACUGCGUUUCUUGAGCCAAUCAGGGGUCGUCGGAACAAACGGUGGAGCGGUGAAAUGCGUAGAGAUCUAUCGGAACGCCAAAAGUGAAGACAGUCGACUGGGCCUUUCCUGACGCUGAGGCACGAAAGCGUGGGUAGCAAACCGG